CCCUUGUGGAGGAGGACGCCGAAGGUGGGGCUAAUGACUGGGGUGAAGUCGUAACAAGGUAGCCGUACCGGAAGGUGCGGCUGGAUCACCUCCUAACAGGGAGACAACAAAAUGUUAAAUAUUAAUUUUGUCACCUUAGGUCGAUCGGUACCUCACAUUCUUAAUUUAUUAAGGAUUUUAUUUCCUAAGUUUUUCUAGGUCACACCCAUUAUUUUUCCUGGGCCAUUAGCUCAGGUGGUUAGAGCGCACCCCUGAUAAGGGUGAGGUCCCUGGUUCAAGUCCAGGAUGGCCCAUAUCUCUAUGUUGGGGGUAUAGCUCAGUUGGUAGAGCGCCUGCUUUGCAAGCAGGAUGUCAGCGGUUCGAGUCCGCUUACCUCCACUGAUUACCACCUCUUCCAUAAUUUUAUAGAAAGGAAAUUUUUUGAGUUGUGAUCAAAUUCUGAACGAUUCUAGCUUCCUAAUUAGAUUAUUAAGAUGCUGGACUCAUUGAAUUAAUUUCAUUGUUUUCAGAGAACCUUGACAACUGCAUAGAUUAUUUUUAAAGACAAUAAGCAUCUUUUAAUGAUGCAGAUUUAUUAUUUUUGCGAAUGCAUAAAUAACAAUUCUAUUAAGCUGAUGCUUCAAAUUUUUUGAAGUUAUUGGUCAAGCUACAAAGGGCUCACGGAGGAUACCUAGGCACACAGA
rnacentral:misc_RNA from 1 species